GCUCCUCGUCUGAAUAAAUCACCUGCAGUAAAUAGUUGGAAACCAAUAAAUUAGUAAACAAUCUUAAUGACAAAAGAAUAAGUAAAAAUUUAGAUGUAUUCAGAUGACAAAAUGAUCUUAAUAACCACAGAAUUAGACAACUUAGCGGGCCAGUAAAGUCAAUGCCCACAAUGUACAGGCACUUCAAAGAACCAAGGAAGGAAACCACGAUGUACAUUCACUUCACAGAAACAA
rnacentral:misc_RNA from 1 species